CACGUAGGGGGCGAGCGUUGUCCGGAUUUAUUGGGCGUAAAGAGCUCGUAGGCGGCUAAGUAAGUCAGGUGUGAAAACUCCAGGCUCAACCUGGAGACGCCACCUGAUACUGCUUUGGCUAGAGUCCGGUAGGGGAGCAUGGAAUUCCUGGUGUAGCGGUGAAAUGUGCAGAUAUCAGGAGGAACACCAGUGGCGAAGGCGGUGCUCUGGGCCGGAACUGACGCUGAGGAGCGAAAGCGUGGGGAGCAAACAGG
rnacentral:rRNA from 1 species